rnacentral:rRNA from 1 species
UACGUAGGGUGCGAGCGUUGUCCGGAAUUAUUGGGCGUAAAGAGCUCGUAGGCGGCUCGUCGCGUCGACCGUGAAAACCCGCGGCUUAACUGCGGGCUUGCGGUUGAUACGGGCGGGCUAGAGUUCGGUAGGGGAGACUGGAAUUCCUGGUGUAGCGGUGAAAUGCGCAGAUAUCAGGAGGAACACCGGUGGCGAAGGCGGGUCUCUGGGCCGAUACUGACGCUGAGGCGCGAAAGCUAGGGGAGCAAACGGG